UGUUCGAAUUUCAUCAACUUAAAAUAAAAUAAAAUGUGUUUUCAAAAGUAAAACUUAAAACACAGUAAAAAAAAAAAAAAAAAACUCUUUUCCCCCACUCCAAUCAUUUGCCCUAAACUAAAGCGUCCCAAAGAUUCCAGGAAGCAGCGCCACCCUCCCUGGCACUUGUAAAUAUUUUUUUUUUCCUUUUCUCAUCAGAAUCGAAGCUUUGCGCCAACAGUUGUGGGAUUUUCGGCACGGCGGCGAAUAUGAAUCUCUGCUCCAAGUGUUACCUGGACUUCUGGGCUGGGGAAGAGCAAGCGAAAAAGGCGAAAGCUGCCAUGUAGACGUUUAAGCCCGUUUAGAAGCUGCCUCCUCUUUUUGAGAAUUAUAUCAGAUUUUAAGGAAAUUUUCAUUGCUCACUCCAAUGAAUUUUAUUUUAAAGCUAGUUUAUGAGGUAAAUGCUUUUAUUUGAAGCUGAGCUAUGAUUGCUAUUAAAGCCAAUUGGCUAAAAUCUGUAGUUGGCUGGAUUGCUUUCUAGAGUGAUGUAAUGAACAUUCACUUGUGAAAUUAGUGAAAUAAGUUCAACUUUUGAUGCUUUCCUGUUGAACUAUUAAGCUUUCGCUCAAAA